rnacentral:autocatalytically_spliced_intron from 1 species
AUAUCGAUUUGAUAAGUUAAAGAAAUAUAUCGAUAUCACACGCCGACUCCCGACGCUACGUCGGGAUGAAGAUAUAGUCUAAGCCUUUUAGAAAUAAAAGA